UAAUACGAAGGGGGCGAGCGUUGUUCGGAAUUACUGGGCGUAAAGGGCGCGUAGGCGGCUCUUUAAGUUAGGCGUGAAAGCCCCGGGCUCAACCUGGGAACUGCGCUUAAGACUGGAGAGCUAGAAAACGGAAGAGGGUAGUGGAAUUCCCAGUGUAGAGGUGAAAUUCGUAGAUAUUGGGAAGAACACCAGUGGCGAAAGCGGCUACCUGGUCCGGAUUUGACGCUGAGGCGCGAAAGCGUGGGGAGCAAACAGGAUUAGAUACCCUGGUAGUCCACGCCGUAAACGAUGUCUGCUAGAUGUCGGGGGGUUGCCCCUCGGUGUCGCCGCUAACGCAUUAAGCAGACCGCCUGGGAAGUACGGUCGCAAGAUUA
rnacentral:rRNA from 1 species